UACGGGGGGGGUAAGCGUUGUUCGGAAUUACUGGGCGUAAAGCGUGCGUAGGUGGUUUGUUAAGUCUGUUGUGAAAGCCCCGGGCUCAACCUGGGAAUGGCAAUGGAUACUGGCAAGCUAGAGUGCGGUAGAGGGUAGUGGAAUUCCCGGUGUAGCGGUGAAAUGCGUAGAGAUCGGGAGGAACACCAGUGGCGAAGGCGGCUACCUGGACCAGCACUGACACUGAGGCACGAAAGCGUGGGGAGCAAACAGG
rnacentral:rRNA from 1 species